GAUGAAUAACGUAGCGAAAUGCGAUAAGUAGUGUGAAUUGCAGAAUUCAGUGAAUCAUCGAAUCUUUGAACGCACAUUGCGCCUUCUAGUAUUCUGGGAGGCAUGCCUGUUUGAGCGUCAUUAAACCUCUCUCAAGUAUGAUUACUUGGAUGUGAAGGAAGAGUACCUUAAACUUAAGGAGUGUUCUCCUUUGAAAUUGAUUAGCAGAUGGUAAUGUUAUUAAAUCCCUGAUGUUGUAAGAAAUAACAGUGGUUUUGUAGACUAUUAUCUAGCUUUAAAUUAUAAUUUUUAUUAUGGUUGACCUCAAAUCAGGUAAGGAUUCCCGCUGAACUUAAGCAUAUCAAUAAGCGGAGGA
rnacentral:misc_RNA from 1 species